rnacentral:rRNA from 1 species
UCUGGUGACCACAGCGGAGGGGCAACACCCGUACCCAUCCCGAACACGGACGUGAAGACCUCCAGCGCCGAGAAUACUGG